AACGAACGCUGGCGGCAUGCCUAACACAUGCAAGUCGAACGAGACCUUCGGGUCUAGUGGCGCACGGGUGCGUAACGCGUGGGAACCUGCCCUUAGGUUCGGAAUAACUCCCCGAAAGGGGAGCUAAUACCGGAUAAUGUUUUCGGACCAAAGAUUUAUCGCCUUUGGAUGGGCCCGCGUUGGAUUAGCGAGUUGGUAGGGUAAAAGCCUACCAAGGCGACGAUCCAUAGCUGGUCUGAGAGGAUGAUCAGCCACACUGGGACUGAGACACGGCCCAGACCCCUACGGGAGGCAGCAGUGGGGAGUAUUGGACGAGGGGCGAAAGCCUGAUCCAGCAGUGCCGCGGGAGUGAUGAAGGCCUUAGUGUUGUAAAGCUCUUUUACCCGGGAUGAUAAUGACAGUACCGGGAGAAUAAGCUCCGGCUAACUCCGUG
rnacentral:rRNA from 1 species